rnacentral:rRNA from 1 species
AUGAUUUGCCUAAGCUGGAACUGCCGGGGGCUUGGGAACCCCGAGGCAGUUCGCGAGCUUCGCAGUGUCGUGAAGCAAGAAGGCCCCGCUCUGGUUUUUGUCAUGGAAACAAAGAUCCGAGGGAAACGUGUGGAAAAAUUGCAGCAGACGCUAGGGUUUGCUGGCUGUUUUGCUUUGGACAGCAAGGGACUAAGUGGGGGCAUUGGCCUCUUUUGGUCUCGUGAUGUAAUAGUGGAGCUCAAGAACUAUAGCUCGAGCCAUAUCGAUGUUGUGGUUUGCGAUGCACUCAACGCCUCGGUGAACUGGAGGUUCACCGGGUUUUAUGGAGCGCCAAGGGCAGAGAACAGACACCAUAGCUGGCGAUUCCUACGUACCCUACACAACUUACCUCAUUCCGAGUGGCUGUGUAUGGGUGAUUUCAACGAAACCCUUUAUGGGGAAGAGCAUUUUAGCAGUACAACUCGACCGGAGUGGCAAAUGAGAGUUUUCUGCGAUGUUGUCAGUGAUUGUGCUUUCCAAGAUUUGGGGUGGUCUGGGGUUCCCUACACAUGGGACAACCGACAAUCCGGUAAUGCAAAUGUUAAGGCUCGGCUUGAUCGAGCUUUCGCUAACGAGGAGUUCUAA